GCCCCCCCACCCGUUGGCGGCAGGAGGGGAGGGAGGUUUCGCUUGCGCCGGCCGCGGGGAUAGGCCGGCUCGGGGAGGCGCUGCUGUUUAUUUUCCAUCAUGAUCACUUUGUUCGUGUUGGGAGGGGGAACAAACCCACACUAUUCUUUUUUAUUAAUUUUCAAGGAGAUUUUCCAUGUUCAUCGGUCCGAAUUGCACAGGCACACACCCACCCACCCCGGUAUUCCUCCCCCCAGCCCCGCCGCGGAGUUAAACCGGGAGCGGGGGAAGGGCGGGCAGGGUGCUCAACGAUCCUUUGCAGCCGGAGAAGAAGUCCACCGCAAACGCUGCCCGUUCCGCUGCCCGUUCUCGCUCCGAUUUCCGGGGUGCCAUCCGCCCUAGCCGGGUGGGGGCCGAGACUGAAGCGGGGCUGGCGGGCGGGGGGUGGUCGCUGCCCUUCCCUGUCCCUCCCCAGCGCAAGGCCGGCACAACCCCGUGUUUUUGGGGCGGUUUCGCAGCGAGGGCGAACGAACCCGGGCGCGGCCGGGAUAAACAACAGGAUCGCGUUGCACCGGGAAGGGCGGGGGGAACGGGACCCGGGCGAGCGCUGGAUCUGGCAGCGGUCCGGCCCGGGAAGUUGCGAAUUUGCGGUCGAAUUUUAAGCCUUAGGAGUCGGAACGAGCGAGUGCGAGAGGUACCUCGCGCUAAGUGUUUCUCAAAAGAAAAAGAAUUGUGACGAGGAAAUCCCACCCUUUUGCAUUAAGAGGACAUAUUGCUCCCAGUUAUCAGAGGAGAAUCACAGAAUCGUUUAGAUAGGAAAAGACCUUUAAGAUCAUCGAGUCCAACCAUAAACCCAGCACUGCCAAGUCCACCAGUGAACCAUGUUCUUAAGCGCCACAUCCACACAUCUUUCAAAUGCCUUCAUGGAUGGUGGCUCCACCACUUCCCUGGGCAGCUUGUUCCAAUGCUUGACGACCCUUUCGGUGAAGAAACGAUAGCGUGGCACUAAGGGUGAAGAGAGCGAGCUGCGUUCCUUACUUCCACCUGCGCUGGAGACACGGGAAAAGAGAGAGACGAAGAGAAAACUUGCUGUUACUUCUUGAAGGAGCCUUAUUUCCUCCUGUGCCAGGCCGAGGGAGGUCGAAACACACACUAAUGAAGACCAUAUUUCUUAUAUAUGGCAGUUUUCUUUAUUGAUUGCUUGAUGUGAAACAGUAUCAAUCUGGAUUUUUUUCCCCACACAUUACAAAAAAAAAAGAAAAGAAAAAAAAGAAAAAGGAGUUAAAUUGGCUCAGUCUGCAAUCCUUUAAGCACAGCCAUAUUCAUUAUCAGAAAAAGGACACCCCC